rnacentral:tRNA from 1 species
UGGGAUGUAGUUUAACGGUUAGAACAAGAAACUGAUAAUUUCUAGACGGCAGUUCAACUCUGUCCUUCCCAA